UACGUAGGGUGCGAGCGUUGUCCGGAAUUACUGGGCGUAAAGAGCUCGUAGGUGGUUUGUCGCGUUGUUCGUGAAAACUCACAGCUUAACUGUGGGCGUGCGGGCGAUACGGGCAGACUGGAGUACUGCAGGGGAGACUGGAAUUCCUGGUGUAGCGGUGGAAUUGCGCAGAUAUCAGGAGGAACACCGGUGGCGAAGGCGGGUCGUCUGGGCGAGUAACUGACGCUGGAGGAG
rnacentral:rRNA from 1 species